CUACGGGCGGCUGCAGUGGGGAAUAUUGGACAAUGGGGGAAACCCUGAUCCAGCAAUGCCGCGUGUGUGAAGAAGGCCUGCGGGUUGUAAAGCACUUUCGGUUGGGAGGACUGCUUCUAGCACUAAUAUUGUUGGAAGUUGACGUUACCUUCAGAAGAAGCACCGGCUAACUCCGUGCCAGCAGCCGCGGUAAUACGGAGGGUGCAAGCUUUAAUCGGAAUUACUGGGCGUAAAGCGCGCGUAGGCGGCUAGAUCAGUCGGGUGUGAAAGCCCCGGGCUUAACCUGGGAACUGCAUCCGAUACUGUCUAGCUUGAGUACAGGAGAGGAGAGUAGAAUUCCACAUGUAGCGGUGAGAUGCGUAGAUAUGUGGAGGAACACCAAUGGCGAAGGCAGCUCUCUGGCCUGAUACUGACGCUGAGGUGCGAAAGCGUGGGGAGCAAACAGGAUUAGAUACCCGUGUAGUC
rnacentral:rRNA from 1 species